rnacentral:rRNA from 1 species
AGGACGAACGCUGGCGGCGUGCUUAACACAUGCAAGUCGAGCGGUAAGGCCCUUCGGGGUACACGAGCGGCGAACGGGUGAGUAACACGUGGGUGACCUGCCCUCAGCUCUGGGAUAAGCCUGGGAAACUGGGCCUAAUACCGGAUAUGACCACAUGUCGCAUGGUGUGUGGUGGAAAGUGCGUUCUUUGUUGAGCGUUUCGGCUGGGGAUGGGCCCGCGGCCUAUCAGCUUGUUGGUGGGGUGAUGGCCUACCAAGGCGACGAC